CUGCUGCCUCCCGUAGGAGUUUGGGCCGUGUCUCAGUCCCAAUGUGGCCGUUCACCCUCUCAGGCCGGCUACUGAUCGUCGCUUUGGUGGGCCGUUACCCCGCCAACUGGCUAAUCAGACGCGGAUCCAUCGUAUACCACCGGAGUUUUUCACACUGUUCCAUGCGGAACCGUGCGCUUAUGCGGUAUUAGCACCUAUUUCUAAGUGUUAUCCCCCUGUUAUACGGCAGGUUAUCCACGCGUUACUCACCCGUCCGCCACUAA
rnacentral:rRNA from 1 species